ensembl:lncRNA
UAAAAAGGAGCAGCUGUGUCACUUUCAGGUAAUGCUGGAACGUGUGAGGAAAAUAUGGAGUUGGACCAGACAGGAAGGGAUACAUUUGGGAAGCAAACCUAGAACAGAGAGCAUGAAAAAGGAUUGUAUCAGAAGGCUUAUACUAGAAAAUAAUUUCUUCCAGUGUUAGCAUUUGGUGUGUUUACCUCAUUUUAUUUUGAGUGUUAUUUAGGAGGAACAUAGCAGAAGAACUGAAUAGUCCAUUUGCUCCCAUAAACUAAGGAUAAACUGGAAGAUAAAUCUGUUGUUCUGUGGAGUUCCUAAUGAUAUUAAACACUAUCUUAUUUCUCCUCAUCCCUUUCUCUUAAAGCCAAAAGGAUAUGUGCUAAAAUUGGUACAGCUCAGAGAUUAGCAAGGCCCCCACACAAGGAUUACAUAGAAAUCUGUGAAGUGUUCUGUCAAGCCAGAAAUCCAGUUACAACUUGGAAGCUUUCUCAAGAAAAAUGACACUUAAGUGAGAGUGUUUGUAAUUUUUGAUAGCAAAAUUAUCCCUCUUGUAGAUUAUUAAUGGAUGCCCAAAUGAUGGUCAGAGUGAGGCUAGGGUGGAAAUGGAACAAACAGCAAGUAGAGAGUGGUCAGGUGUGAGAAAGCUUAACCGACAGACCAUACAAAUGUAAAGGAAUAAGUUCUCCUUUCGGCCUUCACGCAUCUGUCCUUAAUAAGUGUGUUUUCCAGGCUCUGUCAGAACUAAAUAAAAAAAACUGAUUCCUUCAUGUUUGUUGUCUCAGAUUAUUUUGUCCCUUGCUUUUGGUGCACUAGCUUUCUUCCUUACAGAAUCAAAGAAAAUGGGGCUUUUAAACUCAUAGUGCAUGAGAGAGAAAGAGACGGUGACUGUCAGUUCUCUGAGAGUUCUGCAGCAAAGGACAACUCUGAUUAGAAGAACCAUUCCUCAGUGGAAUAACUUCAGCUUGAUCAUACAUACCGUUUAUGGAUGGAAAUGUUUGCAAGGAGAAAAGACAACUUUAGCAGGAUGGAACAGAAGGGGACUCCUCUUUGGAAAGAUAGAAUUUGCUGAAGCUCUGGUUUUUGACCAGCUCUCAGAACCACUCUCAGGAGUCAUCCACGUGCUCGGUGGUUGCUGCUCUCUUCAGAGAUUAUAAUCUCCUUCAAGCAGAGACUCAUCUUCUUGCACAACUCUGAAUGCCACUGAAGUCAGAAACUGCACAGCCAUCAACACCGAGAUAAUGCAGAAGACCCUGAUGUAUUUUGCAAUUCUAUAUCUGAAAGAACAGCUAGGAGUGCCAUGAUCUGCCCCUUUGACAGCCAUGGGAGGUAGAUAUAGAGAAGACAGCCUCAGGCAUGGAUCUGCAGUCACUGCCAGGUACAAAAUUCUCCAAUUUGCAAUGCCACGUGAAAGAUCUCCUGCUGUUUGAGUGCACGUAUGGCCAGCCCAUCUACGAGCAGAUUAAGUAACCCUUCUUUGAUGGACAAUUUUGUUCAACUUUCUUCAUCACAGGCUAAAGUACAUGAGAAGGUAUUAUCAACAUCUGAAAAUAAAC